rnacentral:rRNA from 1 species
GAUGUGGAAGCAUAGUGAUAUGUUAAGCUAACUUGUACUAAUUACCCGUGAGGCUUAACCAUACAACGCCAAACGCGUUU